rnacentral:lncRNA from 1 species
UGGUGCAAUGGGAAGCUGAAUAGCUAAGGUUUACUUGACACUAAAUCCAAGGUGUGCUUGGCUUAUUUUUAUGAGAUCAAGCCUUUUUUCGAAAGGAUUGUUAAUAUAUGUGUUUGUCUUUUGUUUUCUUCUUGUUUUUUUUUUGUAGUGGCAUUUUCGCUUCCUUUUAGACUUAUGAGUUUGAAUUUUCAUUUUGUAUCUUAUUCCUCUCUGUUUCGUUUCUGAUAAAUUGAUUUUUUUUUAUUGUUUUAUCCUUCAAGUUUGUUAACCGCCGUGCAUCGUUUAAAUCGUUUAAAUGACUUACCUCAAAUUUGGAACCUAUAAUCAUGUUGUCGACCAUAUAAGUAUCUGUAGAUAUUAACUGUUUAAUUUUAACUACUUUUUCAAGC